rnacentral:misc_RNA from 1 species
GUGGGAGCAAGGCUUGCCCGCGAUGAACGAUAAUGCGGUCUUGCUAUAGACCGCGGUGCCUUCAUCGCGGGCAAGCCUUGCUCCCAC